UACGGGGGGGGUAAGCGUUGUUCGGAAUUACUGGGCGUAAAGGGCUCGUAGGCGGCCAACUAAGUCAGACGUGAAAUCCCUCAGCUUAACUGGGGAACUGCGUCUGAUACUGGAUGGCUUGGAUCCGGGAGAGGGAUGCGGAAUUCCAGGUGUAGCGGUGAAAUGCGUAGAUAUCUGGAGGAACACCGGUGGCGAAGGCGGCAUCCUGGACCAACACUAACGCUGAGGAGCGAAAGCCAGGGGAGCAAACGGG
rnacentral:rRNA from 1 species